rnacentral:rRNA from 1 species
GUGUCAGCAGCCGCGGUAAGACGAACCACACAAACGUUAUUCGGAAUUACUGGGCUUAAAGGGUGCGUAGGCUGCGCAGCAAGUUGGGUGUGAAAUCCCUCGGCUCAACCGAGGAACUGCGCCCAAAACUGCUGUGCUCGAGGGAGACAGAGGUGAGCGGAACUUAGGGUGGAGCGGUGAAAUGCGUUGAUAUCCUAAGGAACACCCGUGGCGAAAGCGGCUCACUGGGUCUCUUCUGACGCUGAGGCACGAAAGCUAGGGUAGCGAACGGGAUUAGAUACCCCGGUAGUCC